rnacentral:tRNA from 1 species
GGCGAAUUAGCUCAGUUGGUAGAGCACACGACUGAAAAUCGUGGUGUCCCCGGUUCAAGUCCGGGAUUCGCCA